CUUCUGUUUCCCUACUUAAAGAUCUCUUCUUAUGAGAGUCCUAGUCUUGCCAACAUGAUACUUGAAGUGUUGAGUGAGAGGAAAGAUGAUCACCUCACUUGUAAGAUUCACUUUUGCCAUUCUUUUGCAUCUCUUGCCGUUAGUUGUAUAUUAUCCUCCUGACUUUGGAUCGGUCUGGUUAUAAUGUCCAUCAGACAAUGUAAGUUUGAUAUUCUCAUUUACGCUUUGGAAAACCUGUUGCUAAAUCAUUCAUUGAAGAUGUUUAACUAGGGAGCUGAAACUUUUUGGCUUGCUUUGAUGAUGCUUGCUAUGCAAUUGAGAAUUGAGAUCAAUUAUGUCAUCUCUUUUGAUGUUGGGUUUUCCUUAGCUUAAAAUUUUCAUCUCGUUGUUAGUGAGACCGGAUCCAUAGAUCCACCCGGGAACCGG
rnacentral:lncRNA from 1 species